rnacentral:misc_RNA from 1 species
GAUGAAGAACGUAGCGAAAUGCGAUAGGUAGUGUGAAUUGCAGAUGUAACGUGAAUCAUCGAAUCUUUGAACGCAAAUUGCACUCUCUGGUAUUCCGGGGAGUAUGCCUGUUUGAGGGUCGUCAAAAUAAACAUCGAUUUUAUUGCUUAUUUUUUUAUAUAAAAAGUAAAUAUUAUCGGAUUUGAGCUUUUCUUUUAUAUAUAAUUUUUGUAUAAAGUAGCUUAAAAUUUUUUUUGGUAUCAAAAAGCGUAUUUUAUAUAGUCAAUUCUGAUUAAAAAACGCUUGAAUUUUUGUAUACCACCAUCAUGUAAUACGUUUGACUUGUCAUUUCUAAGUUCAUUCGUAUACGAAGUUUUUUUCAAUUUUAGACCUCAAAUCAGGUAAGAAUACCCGCUGAACUUAAGCAUAUCAAUAAGCGGAGGA